GUAAUUUUCGGGAGAUUGCCUCAAGUUUUUACGUCAUUAACUUGCGGAGAAUGGUUCAGUGAGAAAAUAUUUAAGUCUACAUCGCAUGUAACAGUAGUCGACAUUGAGAAUAUCACCUGUAUCACCUUCCGAAAGAAGACAAUCCCCUUCAUAAGGAAUGAAUUUGAAAAGUUGGUAAUCUCUUCCUAAAAUAUUAUGACAGCGCCAUUUUAAGAAACAUGGAUCCGUGUCGAUCGUUAUUUACCCGAAAUCAUCAGACAAAAAUACGAAUAGAGAAAAAUGCAUACUGUAUCCGAACAACCAACAGAUUUAUUACAAAAUAAAAGAGAAAGGGAAGAUGUGCGAGGAAGACAGCACGUUAUCAAAAAACAGGUGAUCAGAAAAGAAGGGCAAGAGC